UACGGGGGGGGUAAGCGUUGUUCGGAAUUACUGGGCGUAAAGGGCUCGUAGGCGGCCAACUAAGCCAGACGUGAAAUCCCUCGGCUUAACCAGGGAACUGCGUCUGAUACUGGAUGGCUUGAGAUUGGGAGAGGGAUGCGGAAUUCCAGGUGUAGCGGUGAAAUGCGUAGAUAUCUGGAGGAACACCGGUGGCGAAGGCGGCAUCCUGGACCAACACUGACGCUGAGGAGCGAAAGCGUGGGGAGCAAACAGG
rnacentral:rRNA from 1 species